GACGAACGCUGGCGGCGUGCCUAACACGUGCAAGUCAACGAGAAAGGGGUAGCAAUAUCCCGAGUAAAGUGGCGCACGGGUGAGUAACACGUAGGUAAUCUGCCAUUAGGACGGGGCCAACCACGCGAAAGCGUGGCUAAUACCCGAUGAAUCGACGAUGCCGCAUGGCAUUGUUGUUAAAUACCGCAAGGUGCCUGGUGAUGAACCUGCGUCCCAUUAGGUAGUUGGUGAGGUAACGGCUCACCAAGCCGACGAUGGGUAGCUGGUCUGAGAGGAUGAUCAGCCACACUGGAACUGAGACACGGUCCAGACUCCUACGGGAGGCAGCAGUGAGGAAUAUUGCGCAAUGGCCGAAAGGCUGACGCAGCGACGCCGCGUGAAGGAUGAAGUCCGUUAGGAUG
rnacentral:rRNA from 1 species